rnacentral:lncRNA from 1 species
GCUAACUACUUCUAUUCUUCUCCUCCACCACCUGUUAAGCACUACGAAUACAAAUCACCACCUCCUCCGGUUAAGCACUACCCUCCCCCUCCGGUUUAUCAUUCUCCACCACCACCUAAGAAACACUACGAAUAUAAAUCUCCACCUCCUCCAGUUAAACACUACUCUCCACCACCGGUUUACCACUCUCCACCACCCCCAAAGAAGCACUACGUGUACAAAUCCCCUCCACCCCCGGUUAAGCACUACUCUCCUCCUCCCGUUUACCAUUCUCCACCACCACCAAAGAAACACUACGUGUACAAGUCCCCUCCUCCUCCGGUUAAACACUAUUCUCCUCCUCCGGUUUACCACUCUCCACCACCUCCUAAGAAGGACUACGUCUACAAAUCUCCACCCCCACCGGUUAAGCACUACUCUCCCCCACCAGUCUACCACUCACCACCAC